UACAGAGGGUGCAAGCGUUGUUCGGAAUUAUUGGGCGUAAAGCGCGCGUAGGCGGCUUGGCAAGUCGGAUGUGAAAUCCCUCGGCUCAACCAAGGAAGUGCAUCCGAAACUGCUGAGCUUGAGUACUUAAGAGGAUCGCGGAAUUCCCGGUGUAGAGGUGAAAUUCGUAGAUAUCUGGAGGAACACCGGUGGCGAAGGCGGCAUCCUGGACCGGCAUUGACGCUGAGGCGCGAAAGCUAGGGGAGCAAACGGG
rnacentral:rRNA from 1 species